rnacentral:rRNA from 1 species
ACGCUCGACACCUACGAGGCAGCAGUUGGGAAUAUUGGACAAUGGAGGAAACUCUGAUCCAGUGACGCCGCGUGAAGGAAGAAGGUCUUCGGAUUGUAAACUUAUUUUGUCAGGGAAGAAAAAUGACUGUACCUGAAGAAAAAGCACCGGCUAACUACGUGCCAGCAGCCGCGGUAAUCUGAGCGGGCUGGCAAGGC